GCGAGAGUGGCGGAGUUGGUAGACGCACUGGACUUAGGAUCCAGCCCUGGCGACAGGGUGGGGGUUCAAAUCCCCCCUCUCGCACCA
rnacentral:tRNA from 1 species